AACGAACGCUGGCGGCAGGCCUAACACAUGCAAGUCGAACGCCCUCUUCGGAGGGAGUGGCAGACGGGUGAGUAACGCGUGGGAACCUACCCAAGGGUACGGAACAACUCAGGGAAACUUGAGCUAAUACCGUAUACGUCCUUAGGGAGAAAGAUUUAUCGCCCCUGGAUGGGCCCGCGUUGGAUUAGCUAGUUGGUGGGGUAAUGGCCUACCAAGGCGACGAUCCAUAGCUGGUCUGAGAGGAUGAUCAGCCACACUGGGACUGAGACACGGCCCAGACUCCUACGGGAGGCAGCAGUGGGGAAUAUUGGACAAUGGGCGCAAGCCUGAUCCAGCCAUGCCGCGUGAGUGAUGAAGGCCCUAGGGUUGUAAAACUCUUUCAGUGGUGAAGAUAAUGACGGUAACCACAGAAGAAGCUCCGGCUAACUCCGUGCCAGCGCCGCGGUAAU
rnacentral:rRNA from 1 species